UCGGGAAUUUUGGGCAAUGGGCGAAAGCCUGACCCAGCAACGCCGCGUGAAGGAUGAAGUAUUUCGGUAUGUAAACUUCGAAAGAAUAGGAAGAAUAAAUGACGGUACUAUUUAUAAGGUCCGGCUAACUACGUGCCAGCAGCCGCGGUAAUACGUAGGGACCAAGCGUUGUUCGGAUUUACUGGGCGUAAAGGGCGCGUAGGCGGCGUAAUAAGUCACUUGUGAAAUCUCCGGGCUUAACUCGGAGCGGCCAAGUGAUACUGUUAGGCUAGAGUGCAGAAAGGGCAAUCGGAAUUCUUGGUGUAGCGGUGAAAUGCGUAGAUAUCAAGAGGAACACCUGAGGCGAAGGCGGGUUGCUAGGCUGACACUGACGCUGAGGCGCGAAAGCUAGGGGAGCAAACGGGAUUAGAUACCCCAGUAGUCCCUGAGCGGGCUGGCAAGGCGCAU
rnacentral:rRNA from 1 species